AUUGAACGCUGGCGGCAUGCCUUACACAUGCAAGUCGAACGGCAGCGCGGACUUCGGUCUGGCGGCGAGUGGCGAACGGGUGAGUAAUACAUCGGAACGUACCCUGUUGUGGGGGAUAACUAGUCGAAAGAUUAGCUAAUACCGCAUACGACCUGAGGGUGAAAGAGGGGGACCGCAAGGCCUCACGCAGCAGGAGCGGCCGGUGUCUGAUUGGCUCGUUGGUGGGGUAAAGGCCCACCAAGGCGACGAUCAGUAGCUGGUCUGAGAGGACGAUCAGCCACACUGGGACUGAGACACGGCCCAGACCCCUACGGGAGGCAGCAGUAGGGAAUUUUGGACAAUGGGGGCAACCCUGAUCCAGCAAUGCCGCGUGUGUGAAGAAGGCCUUCGGGUUGUAAAGCACUUUUGUCCGGAAAGAAAUCGCGCUGGUUAAUACCUGGCGUGGAUGACGGUACCGGAAGAAUAAGCACCGGCUAACUACGUGCCAGCAGCCGCGGUAA
rnacentral:rRNA from 1 species